rnacentral:tRNA from 1 species
GCGUCGGUGGUUUAAAGGCGUAGAGCAUUCCCGCCCGGUCACGAGGGAGGUGCGGGUUCGAGUCCCGCCUGGCGCU